UUCAAUUUCCAUUUUUACAGUGCUUUGUAG
rnacentral:piRNA from 1 species